GACUUUGGGGCCUGGCUGGAGAUCAGGUUUGCCCACUAUCUUGAGAAAAACGUUCCAGGGAGGAAUCCUGAUCUCUCACCCCCAAUUCAGCC
rnacentral:miRNA from 1 species